UGAAUCCAUUGUCAGGAACAAUCAUAAGAAAUGUUAAUCUUGGAGAAAGAGGCUGUCUUGUAGAACACAAAUGGAACUUUAAAAAAGAAAGCACGGUCCAUGAAACUUAACAGUCCUGCUCUCAGUAGGAGGACUUGACCUGGGAUUUGCUGUGAACCAUGGGAUGUGGCUGAAAGUGAUGAUGGGUCCAUCCCAAGUGGAGGCUUUAAGAGGCAUCACAUUCUGCUUUUACCCUUGAGUGUCUGCCCUCUGCCAUGAUAACAAUAGGUCCCAUGGAAUGGGUUGAAUGGUGUCCACCCUCCUCCCAAAGAUAUGUUCAUCCAGAACCUGGAAAUGUCACCUUAUUUGGAAAUGGGAUCUUUGCAGAUGCAAUUAAGUUAAGAAUCUCUUGAUGAAAUCAUACUGGAUUAUCUAGGUGGGUCCUAAAUCCAAUGGCAAGUGCCCUUAUAAGAAAAAGGCAGAGGAAGAUUUGAGAUGUACAAGUGACAAAAGAAAAGGGGCUGUGAAAGCAGAGGCAGAGACUGGAGUGAUACAUGUACAAGCCAAGGAAUGCUAAGGAUUGCCAGUGACCACCAGGAGCUAGGAGAGAGGCAUGGAACAGAUUCUCCCUCAGCACCUCCAGAAAAAGCCAACAACCCUGUCAACACCUUAAUUUUGGACUCCUGGCCUCCAGAACUGUGAAAGAAUAAAUUUCUGUUGUUUUAAGCCACCCAGUUUGUGGUAAUUUGUUACAGCAGCGUAGGAAUCCAAUACAGCCCAGAUCGUGGCUGCUCUUUAGCUUGAGUCCCAGAAGAGGAGACACAAAGAGCUAUGUUGGGCCAGUGAGCCCAGCCAGGACCAGCAGAGUUGCUACUGACCAAGGAGUAAAAAAUAAACAUUUGUUAUAAGCCACUGAGAUUUUGGAGCAUUUUUUUUUUUUACCAAGAAAAAGCUAAGUAAUAUUUCUAUAGAGUAAGAAUUAAACUAAAGAAAUUUAAGCUAAAGAAUAUUUGGUUACUUCAAGAUGUAAAAAUUUCUGUUCAACAAAAGCCACCAUAUACAAAGUACAAAGACAAGCCAAGAGAAGAUGUGCAAUGUGUAAAACAAAGGAUUAGAAUCUAGAAUAUCAAAGAAUGCCUGAAAAUCAAUGGAGGUGGGUGUGGAAGGGAGAGAGAGAAAGAAACACACACAGACACACACACACACACACAGAAACCCAGUGAAAAAUGGGAAUAGGAUAUAACAAUCCACAGAAGAAAAAAUGCAAAGGCCAAAAACCGUGAAACAAUGCUCAAACUCAUUAGAAACCAGGAAAAUUAAAACUUUGACACCAGUUUACAGCCAGCAAAUUGGUAAAGAAAAAGACAUUUAAUUUUGAAAAACUAAAUGUUGUUGAUAAUGUGUAUACAUUUGGAUAAGAAAGUAAAUUGGUACAUUCACUUUACAGAGUGAUUUGGCAAUAUCUAGUGAUGUUUAGCAUAUGCAUUCCCUGCCUAGCAAUUCCAUUUUUAGGUAUAUCCUCUUGGGAAGCUUUCAUAUUAUUUAGUAAGGAGACACAUAAAAGGCAGCUCUUUAUACAGUAUUGUCUGUAAUAGUAAUAUCAUUGGCAAAAAUCCCAGCAGCAAUUAGUGGGGGAGAGGCUACAUAAACUACAGUGUAGAGUGGAAUACUACAGAGCAGCUAACAUGAAUGAACUAGGUGUAUUUGAUCUCAAAAACAAAUUGUAUGAAAAAAAAGCAAGUUGCAGUUGGAAUGAUUCUAUUCAUAUGAAUUAUUUAUGAAUACAUGUAAUGGUGGACUAGAACCACACCAAAUUCAACAUAGUGGUUGCCCAUAAGAAGGGAGAGAAAAUGGUACUAGCCACAAAAUAAAGAACUUGAAAUUUAUUGACAACAUAUAAAAGAAGAUCUGAAGCAAUUAUGACAAAAUUAUUACAUUUGUUAAUUCUGCAAAGCAUGUACACAGGUUUUGUACUAUCCUUAAACUUUUUUUUUUUUUUUAAGAAACUGCUGUACAGAUGAGAACUCUCUCCCUAGGGCACUAGUGUCUGGUCACCUAUGGGACACUGGGAAAGGUUACUGCCCCUCUUUGUCCUCAGACCAGUGGUGCCCUUUACCAGGGUCAGCCUGACUAGCAGGGAGAGGGGACCUGCCCUGAAUGUGAAGUCCUCAACUUAGUCACACAUUUGUAUUAAGGCUUUGACACUAUAGAAGCAAUAGUUACCCUUAAAGGCUAACACCUUAAGCCAUAGCCUGCCUUAGUGCCUUAAUGCCGAUUUUUUUAUGAAUAGGGUGUGGCUGAAGUGAGAGCCUGCAGUGCUGGGGCAAAGAAGAAAGACGUGCUGGUCUCUCGGGGCACCAGGUGGAAGAAGAGGGGCAUGGUUGUCUGGGAUAAGGGUGAGGACCUGACAAAAUGGAAAGUGUGUGAUCAGAGAAGAUCCAGUGUGGAUGGAAGAAGGACCAUCUGAGACAAAUGUUAUCUUUCCCUACCUCUACCCAACAGGACUGGACAAUUCCCUCAGUCGCCCACAAGAAACCUCUGUCUCCCUAUUUCUUGAGCUAGGGAGGAUAACCGAUGGCUCUAUGGUUUCCACUCUUCCCUCAGUCAUUUCUAUUGGAUUUGCUCUACCCUCAAAGAAAGCAAAAAGGUUACAUUCAAGAGAGAUUCCUCCUGUCACUCAGAGCUGUAACUGGAUUCUUCUCAGAUAGUGCUUCAUUCAUUCAUUCAACCAACUCCUGCACACCUAUUACCUGCAAGGCUUAGUGUUAUGUUCUGUGCCUUCUAUAGUCUUGUAAAAACCCUGCAACUGCCUUUGAAGAAUCACCGUUCUGAUGGGGAAGCUCAGACAAGUACACGAGAUGGACUCCCAGAUGGCAAGUUCUAAGAGAGACCCCCUUGCUCCGCAUGUGUUUAUUCAGCUGUAUGUGUUUCCUCUUCCUGUCCCAGGCUUACCGAAGACUGUCUGAAAUCCAACCGACACUGUGUGGUGAGACCUGGCGUCCCCUUUUAACCAGAAAACAUGUCUUCUCUCAUUUCAGGAAAAAAAUAAAAGCCAAUCUCAUAACUGGCUUUGCAUUGCAGACAUACUUGUGAGGGGUGCAAAUAAGAAAAUAUUUAAAAUAUUUGAUCUAUUUUGGGUGAGGUUUUGUAGCUUUGGCCUGACAGAAUGUCAUCUGAGAGGCAGUGAUUUCUCUUGGGGGGCAGACUAUUUUUAAGGUUCAAAAAAAAGAGAAAACAUAUUUUCAAAGAGAUAGUUGAGUCUGGUACUACAUGGGGAAAGAUGGCUGUUUGGAACAAGCAAACUAGCUACGUAACUUAGAUGCAUCUAAUCACUGAUCAAGCUCUGCUGCGGUUUGAUCUCACUGUACCACCGAGAGAGCAUGUGUGAGACCUGAGAUGUCUUUGCAGCCUCCCACGUCUCCUUCACACAGGCUGUCCAGCCGCACCUCACCUCAUGCUCUCUCGUGCUCUCCCCUUUCUCCACUGGUCAGUGCCCUCUGUCUAAAAACAUGUCCAAGCCUUGGGGGAAAAUCACCUUUGGGUCUUGUUUCUUUCAGCUUCACUCCUCUCUUUUCUUUCGAUGUCAAAUUUCUCCAAAUAAUCAAUUUAUGAUGCAGUCGCCCUCCACCCCGACUCUUCUUCCAUGACUUCCCUUCUUCUUGGCCCCUGGACAUUUUGACUUCAGGCCCCCCUCUUCUGAGCAGUCCUGUCUGUGAUCCCUGAGGAGCUGAAUCCUGCACAGUCUGCCCCUCAGCCCCCGAGCCCUCUUGGCUCUGUCUUUGAUAGCCCCUGCCACUGGUGUCCUGACUGGUGUCUCCGGCCUCUCUGAUUUUCCCACUUGGUCUUUCUUUUCCUACAGUGUGGACAAACCCAGGCCUGAUCUCUUUCUUAGAGAAUAAUAAUAUCUACUUCACAGGGCAGAUGUAAGAAUUAAAUGAGAUUAAAUGUCUAUGAAGUUGCUUUGUGAACUAAAUGCUCAUUUAUUUAUUCAUGAAGUACCUUCCCCAUACUGAAACUUUUCUCAGUCCUGUAUAAGGCACUGUACAGCCUCUUCCCAUAAAGGGGUUUGCCUUUUGCUGGCAGACACAGGUUCUCAAAGAAACAAAGUAAAGUGGGCAGGUAUUGUCAAAAAAAUUCUGUACAGUGAGGGUCACACUGAGCUACCAGAGAGGGAGAGGUCAUUUUCAUCUUAGUGGUUUUUUUUUUUUUUUAAUCUCACUUGUUCUCACGUUUUCAACAAUUACCUCUUCUGAUGUGAAAAAUAAAAAUACAUAUUUAGCCCUGAA